rnacentral:tRNA from 1 species
UGGGGUGUAGUUCAGUGGUACAGCAUUUGCCUGGCAUAUGCAAGGGCUUAGGUUCAAUCACUAGCACUACAC